UGUAAGCGUAUACCAAAGUUGUUGCAGUUAAAACGCUCGUAGUCGGAAUUUGGCAGUUCCGGAUGUGUGCACGUCGUGUGCGCACUUCGCGGGGAUUGCUUUUGUGGUCUUGCGUAGGAUGAGGCACUUUUAUUAGUGAACGUCCUCACGCAACCACUUUUUACUGUGAGAAAAUCAGAGUGCUCAAAGCAGGCAUUUGCCGUGAAUGUAUUAGCAUGGAAUAAUAGAAUAGGACUUGGUUCUAUUUUGUUGGUUUGUUGGGACUGCGUAAUGAUUAAGAGGGACAGUUGGGGGCAUUUGUAUUUCGGUGCUAGAGGUGAAAUUCUUAGAUUACCGAAAGACAAACUGCUGCGAAAGCGUCUGCCAAGGAUGUUUUCAUUGA
rnacentral:rRNA from 1 species